rnacentral:rRNA from 1 species
UACGUAGGGAGCAAGCGUUGUUCGGAUUUACUGGGCGUAAAGGGCGCGUAGGCGGCGUGUUAAGUCAGCUGUGAAAUCUCUGAGCUCAACUCAGAACGGCCAGCUGAUACUGAUGUGCUAGAGUGCAGAAGGGGCAACCGGAAUUCUUGGUGUAGCGGUGAAAUGCGUAGAUAUCAAGAGGAACACCUGAGGCGAAGGCGGGUUGCUGGGCUGACACUGACGCUGAGGCGCGAAAGCCAGGGGAG